CUGUUCCUUGUUCCCUAUGGCGUCACAUACGUCAUAGAGCAUCCACCGCCACCCAAUGCGGACAGCCAGAACCUCGAGCUCGACACCUAUGUCACCCUUGCCAUGUAUGCCACUCUUGCCAAUCAGACUGUCGAUCACGAGAUCAGGGUCACCACCACCUAUGAUCUCUCGAUGCGGAUCCACGAUUAUUUCCUAGCCAACCGAGGGGCCCGCUACAUGAUGUUCAAUAGGCAAUAUCCAAACGUCAAGCAGGGUGAACUGUCUGUGGACAAGUAUGCGCGCUGCAUGAAGCUUCUCAAAGUCGGUCUCGCGAACUUUGAUCACGCCGCCACCGAGGUUGAUCUCACCACGCAGUUCCUACACGGCCUCGACCAACACGUCGACACCAUACACGUGGUUUUGGGCGACAUCGUCCCCCUGCCGCCCUUCGAUACGGUCUUCUCACGAGUCAAGCUCGCCAAGGAGAAUAUUGCAUAG
rnacentral:rRNA from 1 species